rnacentral:rRNA from 1 species
AAUCAACGCUGGCGGCGUGCCUAACACAUGCAAGUCGCACGAGAAAGCGGACUUCGGUCUGCAAGUACAGUGGCGCACGGGUGAGUAACACGUGAAUUAUCUACCUUCGAGUGGGGAAUAACCUCGGGAAACCGAGGCUAAUACCGCAUAACACUUACGAGUCAAAACAGCAAUGCGCUUGAAGAGGAGUUCGCGGCAGAUUAGUUAGUUGGCGGGGUAAUGGCCAACAAAGACGAGGAUCUGUAUCCGGCCUGAGAGGGCGCACGGACACAAUGGAACUGAAACACGGUCCAGACGCCUACGGGAGGCAGCAGUGGGGAAUUUUGCGAAAUGGGGGAAACCCUGACGCAGCACCGCCGCGUGGAGGAUGAAAUCCCUUGGGAUGUAAACUCCUUUCGAUCGGGACGAUUAUGACGGUACCGGAAGAAGAAGCCCCGGCUAACUUCGUGCCAGCAGCCGCCGUAA